CCUCAAUAACCCCUCACGCCAACGCAUAGAUAGAGCCUCUCAAGCCGCUUGGCAACUAGUAGGGCCUCACCUGUCACCAAACAAGCAUAAUACUUUCGCCAUCCGGCCUAGCUAGCCUGCCAGUACAAUUUGGUGGUUCUAUAUACUAAUUAUUGUUUUAUUUAUAGUAUGUCUCAGGAAGGGGUAGAGGAUUUCUCCCUGCCUAGCACCCCGGCUAGAGCUGUCACUCCCACACAAGGAGGAGAGCUAGCUAAUCCAGCAUCAAUUAGAUCCUGGACAAUCCCGCGCAUAACCACGGAAUUAAGGAGACGACAAAUCCCCUACCCCGCUACAGCAAGGAAGGCAGAACUUUUCAAACUGCUACGCACGUCAACCAAUAACAUGGAAGCCGGGGAAGGAUCUAGCCAGUCCAACCCAGGGGACAUACAUGCCAUGUUAUCCUCACUCAUGGCAUCCAUGGGCAAGGUCAACUCCA